AACGAACGCUGGCGGCAGGCUUAACACAUGCAAGUCGAACGGGUGUAGCAAUACAUCAGUGGCAGACGGGUGAGUAACACGUGGGAACCUUCCUAGGGGGUACGGAACAACUCAGGGAAACUUGAGCUAAUACCGUAUACGUCCGUAAGGAGAAAGAUUCAUCGCCCCUAGACGGGCCCGCGUCGGAUUAGGUAGUUGGUGGGGUAACGGCCUACCAAGCCUACGAUCCGUAGCUGAUCUGAGAGGAUGAUCAGCCACACUGGGACUGAGACACGGCCCAGACUCCUACGGGAGGCAGCAGUGGGGAAUCUUGGACAAUGGGCGCAAGCCUGAUCCAGCCAUGCCGCGUGAGUGAAGAAGGCCUUAGGGUUGUAAAGCUCUUUUACCAGGGACGAUAAUGACGGUACCUGGAGAA
rnacentral:rRNA from 1 species